CGGGAAGAUCACUUAUCUGCUUUCUUUUACACUGCUUGAGUUUUAAAAAAUCAUAUACAUCUAUUACAAAGGGCAUAGUUACAUCACGGAGACCCCUCUUCUGCCCCCACACACCUCACCCAGGUUUGGGGUGCUGGAAGAUGCAGACAGGUCAGUGUUCCAGGGGUGGGUUUGGCAUGGCGCUGCUGUUUCCGGGUCUCAAGACAUUUGCUGUGUGAGUCGAGGGAGAGCUACGGUGUCUCUGGUCUUCUCUGGGUUUCAGUCAACAUCCCAUCCAUGCAGAGAGGAGGCUGUAUCCAGUCCUGCCCUCACUGGCCUCUGGCUUUCAGACCUCAGUUAGGGGCCUCCAGGGCACAGCUGAGCAGGCCAAGUAUCUAAGGA
rnacentral:lncRNA from 1 species